CAAAUCCAACCACGGUCUCCACUAUGGAAAGGAGAGUGUCCGGAGCAGUGGAGGGGCUGAUGUUCACAACUUCAUCUCCUCUGGCUUUGUGACGCUGGGUCGAGGCCAUCCGAAAGGAGAAAAACAUUGGCCGGUCCGCUCCCAGAGUCACCAUGGUAGGGAUGGAUGUUCUUUCUUUAAGGGUCAAAGUUGCCUCUAACCACUUCUUUAGGAUUUCUGUAUUUGUCGUAUAAACUUGAUAAUGAUUAAUAGUGGUAAUAUGAAGUAACAUCUGAUCAGUGUUUGGAGGCAGCUUAUACCUGGAGUGUUAAUUGUAGUGCAGUGCCUUCCCAUUGGCCUCUCUCUAUCUAUAUGCCUAACCUGUGGAUUUUCCCCUUGGCAUUUAGCUCUCCUGUCUGUGUGAUGACUACAUGUGUUCAGUCUGG